rnacentral:lncRNA from 1 species
CACGCCCCAUCAAUGUAGCAAACUCGAGAGGACCCCAAUGUCUGCCAACUCCCAUCUGUCGGUGGAAACCCCUGAUUCUCUUGUACCAAGAGUUGGGCUUCAGCCCAAAGUGAUCCUUCAACAUCCGCUCUGCGCAAAAUUUCUUGAGGACUUACAGUCCUAUUAUUAUGAAUUUUGUCAUUCCUAUUUUUCCAUAUAUACCACAUAAUCCAUGGAAAAUACUCCGAAUCAACAUCCGUUGGAAGUCUCCAAAAAAGAUGAUCCAGACUAGUAAAAACGGAGGAAGAUGGAAAGAUUCCGGGAGGGGAAGGGAUUCGAGAUAAAGCCCAUGUUUGAAGUACUGGUGGACAUUCAAAAAUAACGUGAUAGAUGGAUUCCUCUUCUGCCCCACAAAUACCACACCGGAGAUCACACUCUAUACCACGAGCC